AUAGUAAUUGACGAACACAACACACCACGUGGAGAGAAGCAAGGUGUGGAGUACCCAAGCCUCUCACAGUCCAUGCUAGUAGACUCACCCUGCAUGUGGAGAUCUCCCAAAAUGCACGGAGGUUAUUCCAGAGCUGCAGGACAGAGUACUUGAGGCCAUUGGUGAACAGAAAGCUGAGGUUGAACAAAGCCAAGAAUUGAUAGCUGCCCAAGGUGUAAGCAAGAUUCACAAUGAUGAGGUCAUUGUGACGUGUGCAAUGUGUCCACUGGUCUUGGCCUUCCUGACCAAGGCAGCCACACAAAGGAAAUUCCACGUUAUUGUUGCCGAACGUGCCCCUAAAUAUGAUGUAAGGUGUUUUAUGCGUCUCUUUCACGUCAUCGUGUCUGAUGUGCACAAUACGUAACACAGGGACUGCCACAUGUAGGGGUGAUGGCUUCUUGCAGCUUCCUUUAUUUUAUUAUGUUCUUAUGUUCUCAAUACAUCUUUUACUUGUGCAGGGUCACCCAGUGGCAAAAGCUUUAUGUACUGCUGGAAUUGAGACAACAUUAAUUCAAGACUCUGCAGUGUUCCCCAUCAUGUCACGUGUCAACAAGGUCAUCAAAGGUCAUCGUUGGCACCGAGACGGUGGUGACCAACGGAGGCAUUGAGACCUUUGUUGGUGCAGCCUCUCUUGCCUCACCACCAAAGUUUUAUUCUGUUCCACUGUAUGUGUGCACUCCCACAUACAAAUUUAGCUUGAUGGGCUGUGAAGAAAUAAGCCACCAAACCACCACUUCUAUUAUCCCAGAGAGAACAAAGUUUUGGCCGUCUGUAAAUACUGCGCUGACUCAGCUAGAUUACGUUCCUCCAGAAAAUGUCACCAGUUUGA